AUCGAAAACAAAGUGGAAGCACGGAGCCCUCCGUGCUUCCAUAAGCAUCCUAGCCGCACUCUAUAUGAUACAACUAUUGUUCUUUAAAAACUUAAACUAAUAUUUUUGUAUUUUUAUAUUUAACACUUUUUCUCACAUAUGAGGCUUGAAACUUUUUUGAUAGCUCCAUGAUAUAGACUUAAAUUAAAUAGAAAACAAUUAAUUAUUCUAGGAGUCUAACGUGACUCGCAUUUAUGACUUUUUGCUCUGUUAUCAUAUUAAAUUAAAUGAAAC
rnacentral:lncRNA from 1 species